CCGAGUUUUACAACUCCCAAACCCCUUGUGAACAUACCACUUGUUGCCUCGGCGGAUCAGCCCGCUCCCGGUAAAACGGGACGGCCCGCCAGAGGACCCCUAAACUCUGUUUCUAUAUGUAAACUUCUGAGUAAAACCAUAAAUAAAUCA
rnacentral:misc_RNA from 1 species